rnacentral:tRNA from 1 species
GGCUCAAUGGUCUAGUGGUAUGAUUCGCGCUUCGGGUUCUACCCCUGACUUGAAAUAAGUCAUGUGCGAGGUCUCGGGUUCGAUCCCCGAUUGAGCCC